rnacentral:lncRNA from 10 species
GCGUGCCAAGAUGCCCUGGCACCGCAGCCCCUGCCUUACCACACCGCUCUUCGGAGGGAGGGGCAGGCAGGCAGUGCCACAGGAGCCGGGUAGGAUGGAGGAAGGGACCCAUCUAGAUGGAGGGAAGGGGCAGGUCCCAAGAAUAACUCUGCAGAUCUUGGCUUCCCAGCCUCAGGAUUGUCCCCAGGGACCAGGACAAAGGGCUUGGUCCUAUUGGCUUGUCUCCAUGGCGCCUCCCUUCUUCUUCUUCCCAGGUGAAUGGAUCAGCUCAGUUAGACCCAAGAGAGCCUCAUGCUUGUCCUAGACCUCAUUUUCCCGACCCAGUGGCAUUCCAGCCACACCUGCUGAGGCCUUGGGUACCUGCGCAUCAGAGUAGCAGCUCCUCCAGCUGGCAGAGAAAGACUUGAUUUGCCACAGUUAGCGCGGCCCACUGUGGAAGCAAUCCAGGGUUCGCUCACCACCCAGCCAUGCCAGCUGAUGCUGUUUUGAUUCCCCUAACCAGGGGCAGUCACUUUUCUAGAACUUUCUGUGUCAUGAACCCUCAAGGGAGGCAGCUAAUGCAACCCUUUCCCAAAGGGCCCUCUCCUAAUACCUGCAAAUUAUAAGGACACUAUUUGACUUGAUAUUAUUUCUGGAGGAAAAUAAAAGUCAAUAAAGGCACAUAAACUGCUCUGUGAUUUGAGGCAAAAUGAAUACAAAAGCCAGGCCCUUCUGCCACACCCACUCACCACGUGAUCUUAAGAGAGUCGUUUCUAAUCUCAGAGUCUCAGUUAUCUUGCCUGUAAAAUGUGGAGGUUGAGCUACAUUAAAUCUAUGGUCA